rnacentral:lncRNA from 7 species
UUUUGGAGCUGCUGAGCUGUGUGACACGUGCUGUCCUGAGAAGGAGCUUGUGGGAAUGGUUUGUAAACAAGGAUGUGGCUGAGCUGGAUGUUUCAGCACCAGGUGCUUCAGUUUUACUAAGUUAUAGCAAAAAAAAAGAAAGGAAGUGAAUGAAGCAACAAGUUUUUUGCAUGAGCAGUGUAUUGAACGCCACCUGGUUUCCCCACGGACGUGUAGCCCAUGUCUGAUCACUCUGUGACACUUCUGUCCUUGAUGAGUCCUCCAUCACGCUGGGGCUGAGCAAAGCAUCAGACCAUGGCUGGGGAGGGAUCUGCAGCUCUGGCAGGUGACACGGGAGAAAUAGGAAAACAGGAGGGCUGAACACUGCUGUUUCCCUGCAUCUCCAGCCAGCAGCGGCUGUGGGCUUCUUCUGAGCUCGUGGACUUCCUCCUCCAAGGCACUUCCAGCAGCAGUUACCUAGAGGAAAGCACAAGGGCAGACUGAGCGUGCUUUUCCAAUGGCUUCCAGUUAUGCCAAACAGCAGAAAGCCUGGAGAAGACAUCUGAAGGCUGGGCUUGGGGUGAAGAGGCAUUGCAUGAGGACAGGACAUUCCACGCCUGGCUGCUGAAUGGCUGUAGGAAGCAGUUUCUUCGGAUAGUUUUACAGCAUGCUGGUGGCCAGCAGGAUUGUUUGAAGGAGGAGAAACCUGCUUCAUGCAUCCCAUGUCCCUGCAUCUUCUGGAAGCUGGACAGGUUCCGCAGCUCUCGAGGCCCUCUCCAAGCAGGAGUCCUGGGCUGAUGGAAGUGGGCAGUGUCUUCUCCAGAAGCACCCAGCCAGAGCCAGCUAACAAAAGAAAUCCAGAGAAGAGCAAAAAGCGUUGUGUUUAUGAAGAACAAUUGAACAGGCCAGACAUCUCCAGCCUGUGAGGGAUACAGCAGAGGUCUAUAAAAUCAUGAGUGGCCUGGAAAAAAAUGAAUUGAUUGCUGCUCUUACCUGUUUCCAGAAAAAGCACUUUCAGAAGAAACCAAAGGCCAGAGCUUGCAUGGUUGUAAAGUUCCUUGUGUGCCUUGCAGCUCCAGGAGCUCGUGUUCAAGAAGUGAAACGGAGCCAACAUCUGAUUAAGGCAGAUUCGGUCAGACAGCUGAAGAAACUGGAGUUGAAAAAUAGGUCAGGAUAUCAACACACCUUUAAAACCCCUGCUGUCAGUUGCCAAUGUCCAGGAAAUACCAAGAGGAAAAAUAAGCUGCAGUACUGGGAACAGUUGGGAUCUCUUGUAGAGAAGAGAAGGUAAAAGCCAAACGGGAGAGGUCAGGGAAAUGAGCUUCCCCAGGGACUUUCUACUGCUGCUGAAAGAGCUCAAGGUUUAAGACUCCUAUCUGCCCCACAGAAACAGAAAUGAUGGGAAUGUGGUUGCCACAGAUGAGGUAACAACAGCAAGCUGAAGUGGCUUUGAUUUAUUUUUUUUAUUCUUCUCAGUACAAGGGACAGCAGCAUAGGAGUACAUGCGAUAGUGGUGGUUGACCAGAGGUUUGUGCAGCGGUGACCUGAGAAAGCAUACUGAUACGAAUCAUAUGUGCAUGGAUGUGUACUUACAUACAUGUUUUUUUUAGCUACCUGUGGCUCAGUUUCAGAGAAGCUCAGCUCUGGUUCCCAUUACAGAUUUACUCAAGUGAAAAUUUGUUGGAAUGGAAAAAGAUUGGUAAUAACUAAAAAUAGCAGUUGACCUCUACUAUGUGUUUCCACCUAUGUUUACUUUUAAGACAGCGAUAAUGAUUAUUUGUGGAAUAUCUUCAAAUAAACAAGAAAGUGG